GGGACUUCUGCUCAGGGUUUCUCUGGUUGAAUUCAACGUUGGCAGGGACUACUAUCUCAUCUGAAGUUCAAAGAGUCCACUUUUCAAGUUGGCAUGUUUUUUGAUAGAAUUCAGUUCCUUUUGGUUGUAGAACCAAGGUCCCCACCUCCCACCCCCCCCCUUUUUUUUUUGGUAGUUGUCGGACAGAGUUUAUUCUCAGCCCCUAAAGGCUGCUUUCAGAUUCUAUCCACAUGCCCUGCCACAGCAUGGGAACUUGGUUCUCCAAAGCCAGCAGGAGAGUCUCCCUCUAGUCUGCUAUAAUGGAUGGAGACUUAUAUAAUGUCACAUAAUCCAAGAGUUACUAUCCUUUUAUAUUUAGAGGUUCUACCCACACUGAUGCAGAAGGGAACACACAGAGUGUCCAUCAGGUGGCAGGAAUUUUAGGGGCCAUCCUAGAAUUCUGCUGACCACAGACAGGUGGAAGACGGAAAGAGAAAACCAUAUGAAAAAAAGACACAAAUUUCUAAAAAAGCAUCCUGUCUUUGAAGAGUGGCAAAUACUAUUCUGUUUUUGAGUACAGAAAUAGAUCCAACUUGGAAUUAUAAAACAGAAUGUGCCUCAUCACUUGGACUUAACCAUAUGACUGGCUUUGACCAAUAAAAUAUAAGUGGAAAUUCUACUAUGCUACUUCCAAGAAAAGUCUUAAAGAAGUCUGGAAAAUUUCCACAUCUCUCUAUACAUGUCCUCUGUCCCCAAUCAGAAGAAAACAUACUAGGAAGUUGUUAAUUCUUUAGCUCAGAUCCUGGAAUGAAGACACCUGGAGUAUACUUGAAAGUCUGAAGUCCAGCUGACCCCCAGCUCAAAUUAGUGAAAGUACAGUCCACCAGCCAACCUGCACAAUAUAUUUAACUGACUUUCAUCUUCAAGCAAAGAGUUGUUCUCCAAAUGGCAAUUGGAAUUUGCAGGUCUGAGGUACUCCUGUAACAAAUACCUAAAGAUGUGGAAGUGGCUUUGGAACUGGGUAACAGAGCCUGGAAUAAUACUGAGGUUCAUGUUAGGAAAAAAAAACCUACACUGCCUGGAAUAAAUUUUGUAGAAACACGGACAUUAAAGGCAGUUCUGCAACCUGAGUGAGGAGAGAGAUAAAUUGAAGAAUUGUUAGGCAAAAAUGAACCAGAACUUGAAGACUUGGAAAAUUACCAGCCUAUUUAUAUUGCAAAAUAAUAUCAAAGAAUUUUGGGAAGAGAACAUCAAGGAUAUUGCUGGGCUACAAAGAUCUGCUAGAAAGAUUACAGUUACCAUGGUGCUGCAACUGGCUGAACAUGCUGUUACUAUGGAAACAACAGUGUAUUUCUCCGCAUCUCAUACAUUUUGGUACAUUCUUCAGAUCUUUUCUUCACAUGUGCAUUUAUUUUCAUAUGACAAAUAUGUAAUUAAAAGUUCUAUAGUUCUUGAGCAAUUAGGGCAACUUAGACAAUAUUUUCAUACUUACAGAACAAUUGAAAAUUAAUGACAGAAUAUACACAAUAUUGUAUAUUUUUACUCAUCUUGGUAUUCAACCAAAAAUUAUCAGCUUACUUUUUGCAUGUGUUCUUUAUAGAAAUAACUCGUUUAUUUAAAAUAUUUUAUGAAAAAGUAUCACAUAUUUUCUUGGUGCUUCACAAACAAAAUCAACAAAAAUAUGUUUACUUGCAACACAAAAAGGAAAAUAUAUUGAAAUAACUCUUAUGAUGCCUACUAGUUAAAAGGAAUAAAAUAUUUUUGUCACUGAGUCAACUCCAAUAAGAGAAAAUAAAAUUAUUCUAAGGAAUUAUAUAUAUAUUUUUUUCUGUGUGUAUCCUUCAUCUUUAUCAGUGCAUUUUUCUAUUGAUUGUAAUGAAAAUAUUUGCAAUUAAAAAUAAAUGUUGCCCU